rnacentral:rRNA from 1 species
GAUGAACGCUGACAGAAUGCUUAACACAUGCAAGUCGAUUCGAUUUACCUUCGGGUAUUGAGGAUGGCGGACGGGUGAGUAACGCGUAAGGAACUUGCCUCUUGGUCUGGGACAACUGUUGGAAACGACAGCUAAUACCGGAUAUUAUGAGAUUCUCGCAUGGGAAACUUAUGAAAGCUAUAUGCGCCAAGAGAGAGCCUUGCGUUCCAUUAGCUAGUUGGUGGGGUAACGGCCCACCAAGGCGACGAUGGAUAGCCGGCCUGAGAGGGUGAACGGCCACAAGGGGACUGAGACACGGCCCUUACUCCUACGGGAGGCAGCAGUGGGGAAUAUUGGACAAUGGACCAAAAGUCUGAUCCAGCAAUUCUGUGUGCACGAUGAAGGUCUUCGGAUUGUAAAGUGCUUUCAGUUGGGAAGAAGAAAGUGACGGUACCAACAGAAGAAGCGACGGCUAAAUACGUGCCAGCAGCCGCGGUAAUACGUAUGUCGCAAGCGUUAUCCGGAUUUAUUGGGCGUAAAGCGCGUCUAGGCGGAAAAAUAAGUCUGAUGUUAAAAUGCGGGGCUCAACUCCGUAUUGCGUUGGAAACUGUUUUUCUAGAGUACUGGAGAGGUGGGCGGAACUACAAGUGUAGAGGUGAAAUUCGUAGAUAUUUGUAGGAAUGCCGAUGGAGAAGUCAGCUCACUGGACAGANACUGACGCUAAAGCGCGAAAGCGUGGGGAGCAAACAGGANUAGAUACCCUGGUAGUCCACGCC